AGCACUUGUCUCGAGAUGCUGCCGGGCUCGUGCACAGCUGAUGCCUGUUCCUGGAAAGCUGAUCUCUACCCAAUAACAUGCGGCUUUCGCACGGUCAGCUGCAGCGGCGCAGCAGCGGGGGUCCGAGGAGCCCGUGGGCUGCAGCCGCUCUGCCGGCUCAGCGCUCGCACGGGUAUCCCCCUCCUCGUGGCCACGCUUCAGCCCGGUCCUUCCGGCAGCUGCUGGAUGAAUAAGCCGAAAUGACAGGAUUGUGGUUAGCCGUGAAGAGCGCGUAGAUGCCACAAAGUAGGUGUGUCACGGAAGAAAGUGCUUAGGGAAGAUUCUUGCAGGAGAUCUAAUUAUCGCUUUUCGUCACUUCUUGGGACCCUGGCGUUCCCUGCUCUCCACUUGCGGAAGAUGGUUAUAGUAGUGACAGAGCUGGCACAAUGCUUUCACCUCCGAAACUGAAACUACACUGAAGAGAAGUCA
rnacentral:lncRNA from 1 species